rnacentral:lncRNA from 1 species
GAUCCGCAGAGAACUGAAGACUCGUGGGUGGGGACCACCACAGAGAGGAGCCUCCCUGAGCCUGGAUUUGGGGCUGCCAGUCCCAGAUUAGGCGGCACCCUCGCUCCGUCCCUGCCGAGGCUGCUGGCAGAGGUGCCACACUGGAGGCAGGAAGCGGGGCCUGGGCCGCUCAGGCUCAGCUGCUCCGGCGGCCGAGAGCUGCCCAUCGCUCAGUCCACCUCUCCUGCACCUCCCACCAGGGCCCGACAGGCUCAGUUCCGGCAGGGGCCGGGGACGAGACACCCUCAGACCCUCGAGGCCUCCUCGCUGACCACCAGCCCUCCCAACACAGACGUCCUUCUCUCCGAGGCCAGAGGACCAGAUGAGGUGCUGUGUGACGCUUUCGUGGAUGGAUACGUUGUGUGCUGUUCAAAUCAGGCAUCUCACACCUACGUCCACAUCACCGAUCAUUUCUGUGUGGAGCUCCCUUUGAGCACCCGACUAGAAAGAAAACUUCAGGCCUGGCUUACAACUUGUUCUGCACGGCAUGGAAAGCGCAGAGAAAGCAAACCUUCCGGGGGGGACCCGACAGCAGACACACUUGGCUGGAUGCUGAGAGACAGAAGCCAAGGGUGGCUGGAUACGCUGGCACCGGACGGCUCCCACUCCCGGUCGCCUCUGAGCUCCUGCCUCAGCCACACCCUCCUGCCCAGCUCUGGCCCUGUGCCCUGGAUGCACAACCAGUCCCCCAGCCUCCACUCGGGCCCGCAGAGCUCUGGGCCCAGCCUGCCCCUGCCCCCACGCCCCAGUGCAUCCUUGUGGGCCACUACUCCCUUCCUGUCUUCUGUUCCGAUCAGCAGAAAGAGCCUCUCCAACUGAUCCACUAAAGCCUGCCUCUGGCUCAGUGCCAGCCUGCUGCCCAGCAGACCUGGAAGACAGACCAGCUGACCGCGCCCCCCAGGGGCCUCUCCCUCGGGAGCCCAGCUGCUCUUACACAGUCGCUUUCUGAUUUCCGGGCUUCCCUGCCCUGCAGCUCCUGGUCUCAAGCCUGUGAUUUCCUGGUCAACACAGCAACCGGGCCACGUGGAUCGGAAUCCGGUACCUCUGCCUGGCCUGCUGGCAGACGCUGGGGCAGUCCACCCAUGCCCCAGAUCUGUGCCCUCGACGCCAGUGUGGCCUCCUCCUCCAGGUCUCCCCUUUCCCCCUGAAUCACCGGGUCGCUCCUCUGGCAUUGACUUGCUGCCUUUUACAUGUUUUUUCUCCUGUGAGGUGCGAUUUCAUGAAAAUAAAGAAUUUGAUGAACUCGGUAUAUUUUUUCAGCAAAAUCCAAGCUAACAAUGUGACCUCAGAAAGCGAUAGGAAACCAGGGUGAAACAACAACCAAAGAAGAAAGUGAAAAUUUUGUGGACACUCUCCCAGCUCCCAAAGAGCCGAGUCGGGUCAGUUUGUCAGCCGGGUUCACAAACAGUGCGUGCGUUCUAGGUGGCUCAGCCUGCACAGACUGUCUGUGCAGCAGAGGCGUGGCGAGGAGACGUUCAUGAAUGAAACCGCUGUCUCAGGCCAGGAAAAGCCGAGGCUGAGCUAGACCAGCUUGGCGCAGAUACUGGUUGAAGCCGUGGAUGUGCCCAUGGGGAGUGGUAUUAGGUUCUGUCUUCGGGCCUGCCAUGUUUCCUAAUAAAAUGUUCCUUAAGAGCUGCUGGGGGGCUGGGGUGCAGCACUUGCCGGCAUGCUUGGGGCUGGGCCAGAUCCCCAGCCCUGCAAAACACACACGGACGCACAGAACUGCUGAAGGGGUGGUGGGGUAUGGCCUGGGGACACAGGGAGGGCACAGUCCCCCAGAGUCUACAUGCCAGGGUCACCACUUUCAAAAGAGGAAGAAGAGCUAGGUAGGAGUAGAGUGGAAGACUGUGAAAGUUUUUUCAGAAAGUAUUUUCUCUGAGUUGAAUAUUUCCCAGGAUUUUACCUAAGACUGUGUCUCAACAGCCACCACAGGAUCCAUGAAACUUCCCAAGGUUUUCUUCUAGGAAAACAGUUUCUAUUGGAAUUAUCCAAGAACAGAAGGAAUCCGGCUACUAAAAAGGAGAAUGGUGCCCUGCUCCCCAUAAUCUAUUAAAUCCUCAUGGAUUGUAGGUUUCCAACUUUGGUUCUGUGCUGUUGGAAACUUGUCUACUCCUAAGGUGGAAAUGGCCCCUCAGUGACCAUGACUUUAUUACGUUUUGCUUUCUGGUCAGGACCAAUGCUCCUUGAUUGUUUUUAAUGGUCGUGGGUAUACUCCUGUACUCGUUUUUCCAUAUAAAUUUUAGAAUAGUGUACAUUGUCAUUUUCUUAAGAUCUCCUUGGCACUUGAUUGGAGUGACAUAAAAUCUGCUGGCUAACCUGGGGAUCAGCGGCUAUCAAAGCAGCAAGUCUGUCUGUCCUGCUCAGGGGACCUGGAAUCACUGUCCUGGGCCUCAGUAGUGACUCUAAUUAAUCGUGACAACCUGGUGUUUACGGAGCCGGGGGAGACUCUGGACAGAGGCCGGUCACCGCAGCCAGUCACUCAGGCACCAGAGGAACAAGCAUCAUUGAAUGGCUUUUGGGAAGAGUAAACACAAUUCUGGAUUCUCAGAUUUACUGGGGAAAAGGCAGAGCAUGCUGGUAGGGACUGCAGAGGACUCGGGGCUGUGAGCCCAGAGAGGUGGCGUGCAGAGAAGAGAGGGCUGUUGCAUUAGUAAUAGCGUCACCUAUGGCUUCUUUUGAUUUUUUAAUUUUUGUGCAUUCUUUUAUUUCAUUUUUGCUCUUCUCUUUACUUCCUAUUUUUAAAAAAUCAUAUUUUUUAAUUUUUUAAAUUAAAAAUUAAAUUUAAAAAAAAUCAUAUUUUUUAAAAUCAUAGCUCAGUGAUUUCGCCGCCUGCUGUGCAAGCGCAAGGACCAGAGUUCGAUCUCCGGUACCAAAAAAAAAAAAUCAUAUUUUUAGACACAUCUUCUGCAAACACCCUAAAUCUAGGGUUUCUUUUUCUUUCACUCACUCUGCAAGUCCUCUUUUUCUACGGGGGAUUCGCCCAUUUAAUAUUGAAUUUGGCCAUGCUUUGCCAUGGGCUUUAAGUCUUGUCACAUUUCAUGGUUUGACUUGACUAUGCUUUAUCAGUUUCUCCUUUGUCAAUUUGGAUGUCCCGCAGCUAUUUCUAUUUCCAUAGCAAUCACCCCCUAAUAACUAAAUUAUUUCUACAUAAAAAUUAUAUCUUAAACAAAAUUAAAUCUUUAGACUCUCCUUCCUUCUCAUUUUCUUCUCCUGUAACUUUCCAGACUUUGUGAAAAUAAUCUUUUCAUUUCGAAUUAUAAUUCUUUUUAUAUUUAAAUAAUUCUUUAAUAAUAAGUUCAUGAAAUAUUUUAAUUCUAUUAAAAGUCAUUUCAAGUUCCACCACCUGCCUCGCAAGCAGAAGGACCCGAGUUUGAUCCCCAGUACCAAAAAAAAAAGUCAUUUCAAGUAUACUGGUUGGGCUAGGGGUGUAGCUCAGUGGUAGAGCACUUGCCUAGGAUGCCCAAGGCCCUGGAUUUGACCCCCAGUAUUACAGGAAAAAAAUGAAAUACAUAAGUAAGAAAAACUGGUGUGUUUGGGUUUUUUUUCUUUUUUCGGUGCCAGGGAUUGAACUCAGAACCUUGUGCUUGGGAGGCAAGCGCAACAUCACUGAGCUACAUCCCUGGCCCUGGUGUGUGUUUAUCUUUUUUGUUGUUGUUUGCUUUUUGGUGCUAGGGAAUGAACCCACAGGUUCGGGCUUGCUAAGCGUGUGCUCUACCCUGAGCACACCCCCAGCCUACUUCUAUUCCCUUACUGGGGAUCGAACUUGGGACCUUGCUCUUGCAAGGCAGGCGCCGGAACCACUGAGCUAAAUCCCCAGCCCGCCAUUUUUUAAUUUAAGAGGAUAUUUAUUGAGGAG